AUAAGCAUUAUACGGCGAAACUGCGAAUGGCUCAUUAUAUAAGUUAUCGUUUAUUUGAUAGCACAUUACUACUUCGAUAACCGUGGUAAUUCUAGAGCUAAUACACGCUAAAAAUCCCGACUUCGGAAGGGAUGUAUUUAUUAGAUUAAAAACCAAUGCCCUCUGGGCUCUCUGGUGAAUCAUGAUAACUGCUCGAAUCGCAGGGCCUCGUGCCGGCGAUGGUUCAUUCAAAUUUCUUCCCUAUCAACUUUCGAUGUUUGGGUAUUGGCCAAACAUGGUUACAACGGGUAACGGAGGGUUAGGGCUCGACCCCGGAGAAGGAGCCUGAGAGACGGCUACUACAUCCAAGGAAGGCAGCAGGCGCGCAAAUUACCCAAUCCCGACACGGGGAGGUAGUGACAAUAAAUACUGAUACAGGGCUCUUUCGGGUCUUGUAAUUGGAAUGAGUACAAUUUAAAUCCCUUAACGAGGAACAAUUGGAGGGCAAGUCUGGGC
rnacentral:rRNA from 2 species